rnacentral:rRNA from 1 species
CACGUAGGCACCAAGCGUUGUCCGGAUUUAUUGGGCGUAAAGAGCUCGUAGGCGGGUCAGUAAGUCGGGUGUGAAAACUCUGGGCUUAACCCAGAGCCGCCACCCGAUACUGCUGUGACCUGAGUUCGGUAGGGGAGCAGGGAAUUCCUAGUGUAGCGGUGAAAUGCGCAGAUAUCAGGAGGAACACCGGUGGCGAAGGCGGGUCUCUGGGCCGAUACUGACGCUGAGGAGCGAAAGCGUGGGGAGCGAACAGG